CAUGUAUGUAUAUAUCUAUACAUGUAAAUUUCAGGUUGAGAUUGUGUGUGUGUAAGCCUGCAUAACUUCUGAAGUUCACAACUGAUCUUCUCCAAACUGGUACUAUACAUUACUUAUGUUCUAGAGAUGGUUUUAGACUCUUAAAAGUUUUC